UACGGUAUAUAGUAAUGUAUACUGGAAGAUAUGAAAGAAGUCAGCAGAGUUCGUAGUACCAAACGUGAAGAUGCUCGGUUUAACCCCGGGCUAGCACUUCCGAUUGGGAAGGAA
rfam:Candidatus Nomurabacteria bacterium RIFCSPHIGHO2_01_FTLL_42_16 rifcsphigho2_01_scaffold_46163, whole genome shotgun sequence.